rnacentral:lncRNA from 1 species
GUUGUGAAGUAAGUCCAGUUAGUUUUUACUUAUGCAGAGUGGUAAGUUACCUUUUCUUUGCACCUUAAUCAAAAGAAAAUGAUGCAUUUUUUACUUUCAGGCAGUACUUUGUUCACAUGGAUGACACCGUGCCACAAAAGGUGGGCUCUUAACUCUGCUGGCUGUAUUGGGACUUAAAUAUUGAUAUUCUUGAUUGGUACUUAACUAACCAGAAACCAACUUUUGGGCGUUGGGUUUUUUUUUUUUGGGGGCAGGGGGUUGUGGCAUGGAAAGAAUUCAGGUGCACGGUUGUCAUCCGUGUAUUCCAUAAAGAAUUUAAGAAUGCAAAAGUGGACAAUUAAAGCUGGAUUAUAUCUUUUUCUUCUGGAGCAUAAUGGAGUAGCAUUCGCUCAUUUUUUCCCCUGUA